rnacentral:rRNA from 1 species
AACGAACGCUGGCGGCAUGCCUAACACAUGCAAGUCGAACGAGACCUUCGGGCCUAGUGGCGCACGGGUGCGUAACGCGUGGGAACCUGCACGUAGGUUCGGUAUAACUCCCCGAAAGGUGUGCUAAUACCGGUUAAUGUCUUCGCACCAAAGAUUUAUGGCCGUUGGAUGGGGCCGUGUUGGUUUAGUUGGUUGGUAGGGUAAAAGCAGAGCAAGGGGACGAUGCAGAGCUGGUCGGUGAGGAGGACCAGCCACGCUGGGAAUGAGACACGGCCCAGAAUCGGACGCGAGGGAGGAGUGUGGAAUAUUGGAGACGGGGGGAAGGUGUGACAAAGCAGUGUGGCGUGAGUGAUGAAGCGCUUAGGGUUGUAAAGCUCUUUUAGACGGGGUGAUAAUGACGGUACCGGGUGAAUAAGCACCGGCUAACUACGUG